UCGGAGAGGGAGCCUGAGAGACGGCUACCAUAUCAGGAUAGCAGCAGGCGCGUAAAUUACCCACUGUGGACUCCACGAGGUAGUGACGAGAAAUAUCGAUGCGAAGCGUGUAUGCGUUUUGCUAUCGGAAUGAGAGCAAUGUAAAACCCUCAUCGAGGAUCAACUGGAGGGCAAGUCUGGUGCCAGCAGCCGCGGUAAUUCCAGCUCCAGAAGCAUAUGCUAAAGUUGUUGCAGUUAAAAAGCUCGUAGUUGAAUUUCUGGCAUGGGCGACCGGUGCUUUCCCUGAAUGGGGAUUGAUUGUCUGUGUUGCCUUGGCCAUCUUUYUCUUKYUUUUUUUGGKAWGARAUCUUUCACUGUAAUCAAAGCAGAGUGUUCCAAGCAGGUCGUAUGACCGGUAUGUUUAUUAUGGGAUGAUAAGAUAGGACUUGGGUGCUAUUUUGUUGGUUUGCACGCCUGAGUAAUGGUUAAUAGGAACAGUUGGGGGUAUUCGUAUUUAGGAGCUAGAGGUGAAAUUCUUGGUUUCCGAAAGACGAACUAGAGCGAAGGCAUUUACCAAGCAUGUUUUCAUUAAUCAAGAACGAAAGUCUGGGGAUCGAAGAUGAUUA
rnacentral:rRNA from 1 species